UCCGAGUUGACCCCGGCAGUUUGUUCCGAGUCCCCGACAUUACCCGCUGGCAACAUAGAACGAGGGUUGCGCUCGUUGCGGGACUUAACCCAACAUCUCACGACACGAGCUGACGACAGCCAUGCACCACCUGUCACCGCCCCCGAAGGACCUCCCAUCUCUGGAAGUUUUGCGGUGAUGUCAAACCCAGGUAAGGUUCUUCGCGUUGCAUCGAAUUAAUCCACAUAAUCCACCGCUUGUGCGGGUCCCCGUCAAUUCCUUUGAGUUUUAACCUUGCGGCCGUACUCCCCAGGCGGUCAACUUCACGCGUUAGCUUCGUUACCAAGGAAUUGCUUCCCCGACAACCAGUUGACAUAGUUUAGGGCGUGGACUAC
rnacentral:misc_RNA from 1 species